rnacentral:rRNA from 1 species
CCCUUAGAUGUUCUGGGCCGCACGCGCGCUACACUGAUGCAAUCAGCAAGUUCUUUACCUUGGCCGAAAGGUCUGGGUAAUCUUGUGAAAUUGUAUCGUGUUAGGGCUUAAGAAUUGUAACUAUUUCUUAUAAACGAGGAAUGCCUAGUAAGCGCAAGUCAUCAACUUGCGUUGAUCACGUCCCUGCCCUUUGUACACACCGCCCGUCGCUACUACCGAUUGAAUGGUUUAGUGAGGCCUUCGGAUCCGCGACUCGUUUGUGGAGAAGUUGGACAAACUCAGUCAUUUAGAGGAAGUAAAAGUCGUAACA